GAAAUAGCUCAGUCGGUUAGAGUGCUGGUCUGUCACGCCAGAAGUCGCGGGUUCGAACCCCGUUUU
rnacentral:tRNA from 1 species